rnacentral:tRNA from 1 species
GGGGCGCUAGCUCAACUGGUAGAGCAGCGGACUCUUAAUCCGCGGGUUGGGGGUUCGAGUCCUCCGCGCCUCACCA